UGAGCUAUAAUACUCUUGGGAA
rnacentral:piRNA from 1 species